GGUUCAGAACGAACGCUGGCGGCGUGCUUAACACAUGCAAGUCGAACGCGAAAGGGACUUCGGUCCUGAGUAAAGUGGCGCACGGGUGAGUAACGCGUAGAUAACCUGUCUUCAUGUCUGGAAUAAUACGCCGAAAGGGGUACUAAUACCGGAUAUUCUUGCUUUUUCAUAAGUUAUGCAAGCAAAGGUGGCCUCUGCAUAUGCUACUGCAUGAAGAGGGGUCUGCGUACCAUUAGCUAGUAGGUGGGGUAAUGGCCUACCUAGGCGACGAUGGUUAGCGGGUCUGAGAGGAUGAUCCGCCACACUGGCACUGGAACACGGGCCAGACUCCUACGGGAGGCAGCAGUGAGGAAUAUUGCGCAAUGGGGGAAACCCUGACGCAGCGACGCCGCGUGAAGUGAGGAAGGCCUUCGGGUCGUAAAGCUCUGUUAAGAGGAAAGAAGUGUACAAUGGCUAAUACCUGUUGUAUUUGACGGUACCUCUAAAGGAAGCACCGGCUAACUCCGUGCCAGCCGCCGC
rnacentral:rRNA from 1 species